rnacentral:rRNA from 1 species
AUUGAACGCUGGCGGCAGGCCUAACACAUGCAAGUCGAGCGGAUGAAGGGAGCUUGCUCCUGGAUUCAGCGGCGGACGGGUGAGUAAUGCCUAGGAAUCUGCCUGGUAGUGGGGGAUAACGUCCGGAAACGGGCGCUAAUACCGCAUACGUCCUGAGGGAGAAAGUGGGGGAUCUUCGGACCUCACGCUCUCAGAUGAGCCUAGGUCGGAUUUGCUAGUUGGUGGGGUAAAGGCCUACCAAGGCGACGAUCCGUAACUGGUCUGAGAGGAUGAUCAGCCACACUGGAACUGAGACACGGUCCAGACUCAUACGGGAGGCAGCAGUGGGGAAUAUUGGAGAAUGGGCGAAAGCCUGAUCCAGCCAUGCCGCGUGUGUGAAGAAGGUCUUCGGAUUGGAAAGCACUUUAAGUUGGGAGGAAGGGCAGUAAGUUAAUACCUUGCUGUUUUGACGUUACCAACAGAAUAAGCACCGGCUAACUUCGUG